rnacentral:tRNA from 1 species
GGGGAGGUGCGAGAGUGGUUGAAUCGGCACGACUGGAACUCGUGUGUGCCUUAACCGGUACCGUGGGUUCGAAUCCCACCCUCUCCG